CUAGUGGCUUUGAGUUGUAGACUAGUGGCUUUGAGUUCAACUCAAAGCCACAAGUCUAAACUCAAAGCCACAAG
rnacentral:pre_miRNA from 1 species